CUCAGAUUGAACGCUGGCGGCAGGCCUAACACAUGCAAGUCGAGCGGUAGCACAGAGAGCUUGCUCUCGGGUGACGAGCGGCGGACGGGUGAGUAAUGUCUGGGAAACUGCCUGAUGGAGGGGGAUAACUACUGGAAACGGUAGCUAAUACCGCAUAAUGUCGCAAGACCAAAGUGGGGGACCUUCGGGCCUCAUGCCAUCAGAUGUGCCCAGAUGGGAUUAGCUAGUAGGUGGGGUAACGGCUCACCUAGGCGACGAUCCCUAGCUGGUCUGAGAGGAUGACCAGCCACACUGGAACUGAGACACGGUCCAGACUCCUACGGGAGGCAGCAGUGGGGAAUAUUGCACAAUGGGCGCAAGCCUGAUGCAGCCAUGCCGCGUGUGUGAAGAAGGCCUUCGGGUUGUAAAGCACUUUCAGCGGGGAGGAAGGCGUUAAGGUUAAUAACCUCAUCGAUUGACGUUACCCGCAGAAGAAGCACCGGCUAACUCCGUGCCAGCAGCCGCGGUAAUACGGAGGGUGCAAGCGUUAAUCGGAAUUACUGGGCGUAAAGCGCACGCAGGCGGUCUGUCAAGUCGGAUGUGAAAUCCCCGGGCUCAACCUGGGAACUGCAUUCGAAACUGGCAGGCUAGAGUCUUGUAGAGGGGGGUAGAAUUCCAGGUGUAGCGGUGAAAUGCGUAGAGAUCUGGAGGAAUACCGGUGGCGAAGGCGGCCCCCUGGACAAAGACUGACGCUCAGGUGCGAAAGCGUGGGGAGCAAACAGGAUUAGAUACCCUGGUAGUCCACGCCGUAAACGAUGUCGAUUUGGAGGUUGUGCCCUUGAGGCGUGGCUUCCGGAGCUAACGCGUUAAAUCGACCGCCUGGGGAGUACGGCCGCAAGGUUAAAACUCAAAUGAAUUGACGGGGGCCCGCACAAGCGGUGGAGCAUGUGGUUUAAUUCGAUGCAACGCGAAGAACCUUACCUGGUCUUGACAUCCACAGAACUUUCCAGAGAUGGAUUGGUGCCUUCGGGAACUGUGAGACAGGUGCUGCAUGGCUGUCGUCAGCUCGUGUUGUGAAAUGUUGGGUUAAGUCCCGCAACGAGCGCAACCCUUAUCCUUUGUUGCCAGCGGUUAGGCCGGGAACUCAAAGGAGACUGCCAGUGAUAAACUGGAGGAAGGUGGGGAUGACGUCAAGUCAUCAUGGCCCUUACGACCAGGGCUACACACGUGCUACAAUGGCAUAUACAAAGAGAAGCGACCUCGCGAGAGCAAGCGGACCUCAUAAAGUAUGUCGUAGUCCGGAUUGGAGUCUGCAACUCGACUCCAUGAAGUCGGAAUCGCUAGUAAUCGUAGAUCAGAAUGCUACGGUGAAUACGUUCCCGGGCCUUGUACACACCGCCCGUCACACCAUGGGGAGUGGGUUGCAAAAGAAGUAGGUAGCUUAACCUUCGGGAGGGCGCUUACCACUUUGUGAUUCAUGACUGGGGUGAAGUCGA
rnacentral:rRNA from 1 species